CAAUAGCGUAUAUUAAAGUUGUUGCAGUUAAAAAGCUCGUAGUUGGAUUUCGGGGUGGCCUGGCUGGUCCGCCGCAAGGUGAGUACUGGUCAGCCGCCCUUCCUCUCGAAAGCCCCGACUGCUCUUUACUGCAGUGGUCGGGUAGUUCGGGACGUUUACUUUGAAAAAAUUAGAGUGUUCAAGGCAGGCUAUCGCCUGAAUACAUUAGCAUGGAAUAAUGGAAGAGGACCUCGGUCCUAUUUUGUUGGUUUCUAGGGCCGAAGUAAUGAUUAAGAGGGACAGUUGGGGGCAUUCGUAUUUAAUUGUCAGAGGUGAAAUUCUUGGAUUUAUGAAAGACGAACUAGUGCGAAAGCAUUUGCCAAGGAUGUUUCCAUUAA
rnacentral:rRNA from 1 species